UACAGAGGUCUCAAGCGUUGUUCGGAUUCAUUGGGCGUAAAGGGUGCGUAGGCGGCGCGGUAAGUCGGGUGUGAAAUCUUGGGAGCUUAACUCCGAAACUGCAUUCGAUACUGCCGUGCUUGAGGACUGGAGAGGAGACUGGAAUUUACGGUGUAGCGGUGAAAUGCGUAGAUAUCGGAAGGAACACCAGUGGCGAAAGCGGCUUCCUGGUCCAGCACCGACGUUCAGGCACGAAAGCGUGGGGAGCAAACAGG
rnacentral:rRNA from 1 species